UACAGAGGGCGCGAGCGUUGUCCGGAAUCACUGGGCGUAAAGGGCGCGUAGGUGGCCACGAUAAGGCCGCGGUGAAAGGCUGGGGCUCAACCCCAGCUCGGCCGCGGCGACUGUCGGGCUUGGGCACGGUAGAGGCGGAUGGAGUUCCGGGUGUAGCGGUGGAAUGCGUAGAGAUCCGGAAGAACACCGGUGGCGAAGGCGGUCCGCUGGGGUGUUGCUGACGCUGAGGCGCGACAGCGUGGGGAGCAAACAGG
rnacentral:rRNA from 1 species